CCUUCGAUAGCUCAGUUGGUGGAGCAGUGGACUGUAGUACAUUUGAUUAAUUUAAACAAAUAGGUAUCCAUAGGUCGAUGGUUCAAAUCCGUCUCGAAGGA
rnacentral:tRNA from 1 species